ensembl:lncRNA
CACGGCCCUGGGCUCCACGCGGGACGCCUCGGCGCGGGCGGCCCCCAACGCGCUGCGGGUGCGGGUGGAGGCGCGGGGGGCUGCGGGGCAAUACGUCUGCGUGGCCAACAACAGCCUGGGGACCUCCAACACCUCCAUGCACCUCCGGGACAGCGGUGAGUGCGGCACCGCAGGGACUCUGUGCGACCUCUGCGGGGUCAUCAGGGCACGGGUAUGGGGGCACUGUAGGGUCAUCAUAGCACGGAUAUGGGGUCAUCAUAGGGUCAUCAUGGCACGGCCAUGGGGUCAUUGUAGGGUCAUUGUGGCACGGCUAUGGGGUCAUUGUAGGGUCAUCAUGGCACGGGUAUGGGGUCACUGUAGGGUCAUCGGGGCACGGAUAUGGGGUCAUUGUAGGGUCAUCGGGGCACGGGUAUGGGGUCAUUGUAGGGUCAUCAUAGCAUGGCUAUAGGGUCAUUGUGGGGUCAUCAUGGCACGGCUAUGGGGUCAUCAUAGGGUCAUCAUGGCACGGGUAUGGGGUCACUGUAGGGUCAUCAUGGCACGGCUAUGGGGUCACUGUAGGGUCAUCGGGGCACGGAUAUGGGGUCACUGUAGGGUCAUCGGGGCAUGGGUAUGGGGUCACUGUAGGGUCAUCGGGGCACAGCCAUAGGGUCAUUGUAGGGUCAUCAUGACACGGCUAUGGGGUCAUCAUAGGGUCAUCGGGGCACGGGUAUGGGGUCACUGUAGGGUCAUCAUGGCACGGCUAUGGGGGCACUGUAGGGUCAUCGAGGCAUGGGUAUGGGGUCAUUGUAGGGUCAUCGGGGCAUGGGUAUGGGGUCAUUGUAGGGUCAUCAUGGCAUGGCUAUGGGGUCAUCAUAGGGUCAUCGGGGCACGGAUAUGGGGUCAUCUUAGGGUCAUCGGGGCACGGAUAUGGGGGCACUGUAGGGUCAUCAUGGCAUGGCUAUGGGGUCAUUGUAGGGUCAUCAUGGCACGGGUAUGGGGUCAUUGUAGGGUCAUCGGGGCACGGAUAUGGGGUCACUGUAGGGUCAUCGGGGCACAGAUAUGGGGGCACUGUAGGGUCAUCGGGGCACAGGUAUGGGGUCAUCGUAGGGUCAUCAUGGCAUGGCUAUGGGGUCAUUGUAGGGUCAUCAUGGCACGGGUAUGGGGUCAUCAUAGGGUCAUCGGGGCACGGGUAUGGGGUCAUUGUAGGGUCAUCGGGACACGGGUAUGGGGGCACUGUAGGGUCAUCGGGGCACGGAUAUGGGGGCACUGUAGGGUCAUCGGGGCACGGGUAUGGGGUCAUUGUAGGGUCAUCGGGGCAUGGUAUGGGGUCAUUGUAGGGUCAUCAUAGCAUGGCUAUAGGGUCAUUGUGGGGUCAUCAUGGCACGGCUAUGGGGUCAUCAUAGGGUCAUCGGGGCACGGAUAUGGGGUCACUGUAGGGUCAUCGGGGCACGGAUAUGGGGUCAUUGUAGGGUCAUCAUGGCAUGGCUAUGGGGUCACUGUAGGGUCAUCGGGGCACGGGUAUGGGGUCAUUGUAGGGUCAUCAGGGCACGGAUAUGGGGUCAUCAUAGGGUCAUCGGGGCACGGGUAUGGGGUCAUUGUAGGGUCAUCGGGGCAUGGUAUGGGGUCAUCGUAGGGUCAUCGGGGCACGGGUAUGGGGUCAUCGUAGGGUCAUCGGGGCACGGCUAUGGGGUCAUUGUAGGGUCAUUGGGGCACGGGUAUGGGGGCACUGUAGGGUCAUCGGGGCAUGGUAUGGGGUCAUUGUAGGGUCAUCAUAGCAUGGCUAUAGGGUCAUUGUGGGGUCAUCAUGGCACGGCUAUGGGGUCAUCAUAGGGUCAUCGGGGCACGGCUAUGGGGUCACUGUAGGGUCAUCAUAGCAUGGCUAUAGGGUCAUUGUGGGGUCAUCAUGGCACGGCUACGGGGUCAUCAUAGGGUCAUCAGGGCACGGCUAUGGGGUCACUGUAGGGUCAUCAUGGCACGGCUAUGGGGUCACUGUAGGGUCAUCGGGGCACGGAUAUGGGGGCACUGUAGGGUCAUCAGGGCACAGCUAUGGGGUCAUCGUAGGGUCAUCGGGGCAUGGGUAUGGGGUCAUCGUAGGGUCAUCGGGGCACGGAUAUGGGGUCAUCUUAGGGUCAUCGGGGCACGGAUAUGGGGUCACUGUAGGGUCAUCGGGGCAUGGGUAUGGGGUCGCUGUAGGGUCAUCAUGGCAUGGCCACAGUCUUAUUGUAGGGUCAUCAUAGCACAGCCAUAGGAUCAUCGUAGGGUCAUCAUGGCAUGGCUAUGGGGUCAUUGUAGGGUCACCAUA